AGUCCAUGGUGUGUACAGCAUCACAAUAGGUCUUUGUACCUCUCCCAAGUGUCAUACAUCGACUCAUUAUUAAGCUGCACAAAAGAAGAUAUAUCAUUUCUAAAUGU
rnacentral:snoRNA from 1 species